UGCGCCAUCCGCAGCGCGCUGGGCCGGCGCCUUUAAAGAGCUGCGGCGUUGCGUCAUUUCUCCGCGACGCCCCCGCGCGCUUCCCUCUCGGCCUUCGUCGCUGGAGGCGGCCAAUCAGAAGCCGCCUUCUCUUCUUCCGCCAAGCGGGCUGGUCCCGGCUGCGUAGCUGCCGAGGUUCCGCCGGGAGGUGUGGACGGCUGAGAGGGGUGCUCGCUGUUGCGGUAGAAGGAUUUGCGGGCAGGAUGGGACUCUGUGGUUAAGCCCGUGGCCUCUGGAGCUGCGGGUUUGAAUCCUAAACUCAGCUCUUCCCCUUACUAGCUGUGUGGCCAUAGGUGUCAGAUAUCAACUGUGAUUGCAAAACGUGUAAACUAAGAGAUCCAACAUCGUCCUGGGAGUUUCAGUCUCCGGUUACUAUACAGGGCUCUUCUGGUUCAGAGGCAAACAACUGGUAAAAGGAUGCUUUCCUCCCCCCUCCCUACACCCCACGCUAGUCUGAAGACCAAAAAGGAUGUUUGCAAGAUAUUAACAGUAAUUGUUCAUUCAACAAAUGUUUAAGUACCUGCUAUAGGACACAUGCUGCAGAUGGUGAAAGCUAACUUAAGUUAUCUGAGUGGUAUUAUAGAAGUUUUUUACUCUUUUGUACUUCUAUUUAUAUUUUCUGCAUUGACCAUGUAUCAUUUCUACAAUCAUAAAAGAAAGAGGCAAUUUCCAUUUGCAAAAAGGAAAAAAAAAAACAAACUUUCUUUUGCUUGGAAAAAUGAACCCUCAAGAGAAGAAUGCCCUUGGGGGUUUGGGCUUUUAUUUUUUAAUAACUGUUAGAGAGUCCAGCAAAACUAAUACAAAGAAAAAUAUUAAUAUUUUUAAAACUCUUUAGAAAACAUCAAAUCCAAUGGAUGCAUCUUAUUGAGAAAAUGGAAGUACAGAUGAGCAAAGGACUCAGUCAAGGUCAUACAUGUGACCUUGUAUGUCAGGGCAGAACAGACUGAGGCCCAGAUCUCUUCCUUCCAGCCCUGUAAGCUUUUCCAUUACACCAAGUUGACUCGUCAUACACAUUAAUUUGCUUGAGACAGUCUCUUGCGAUUCAUUUUAAGGUAGUCUUCCGAUAUUUUACGGGGUAAAUUUGACAUUUGUCCAAAUCUAUAUAUAGCUCUUUUCUUUCCGAAAAAUCUAAGCUCUUCCAAAUUGCUGACUCAGAGAACAUCUCAGUGUUUAUCAUGCUCGGGAUUCUGUAUAUUCACACAGUACUCAGAGAAGAGCCCCAGAAACCAGUGAACUAAUUGCAUUGUAAUGAAGCUCCAUGAAGACAGUGACUGUUUCUGUCCAAAUACAAAUGCUGUACCCCACCCUCAGCCCCCAGCACGGUGCCUGACAUAACAGUAGGUUCUCAAUAAACAACUAGCUGAAUGAAGAAAUGCAGACAGAAUUGAGAUUUUUCUAUCUAUAAGGGAUUACUUCACAUGUUGUUUUCCAUAAUUCCCCACUGAACUCCAAAUAGCUAUAUUUAACAGCCUGCUUGACACCACCAGUUGAAUAUCUAAUAGACAUCUGGAAUUUAACACAUUGGAAAAUAAACUCCCGAUUUUACCCCUUAAACUUAAUCAUUCCCCCAAUAAAUGACAGCACCCUUCAUUUACCCAGAGGCAGAAAUUUGGGGUCAUUCUUGACCUCUGUGUCUCACACCCUUCAUUCACUUCCCCAGCGGAUCCUUCAUCUCUUCCUGCAGACUGUCUCCCCAAUCCAGCUGCUUCUCAGCACCUCCACCAAUACCACCCCGAUCCAGCCAUAACUCAGCCUCCUAACUGCUCACCCUGUGUUUCCUCUUGCCCCCUUAUGAGUUCUUUGUCCUCAUAAGGUGAUCAGAUCAAGUCGCUUCCCAGCUCAAAGCCAUGCAGUGACUUUCCAUUAAACUUAGGGAGAAAAAAAAAUCUAAAGCCCUCACUGUGGGCUACAAAGCCCUGUGUCAUCUGGUCUUCUACUUCCUUGGCAGCUAGGGACGUUUCCUACCAUGUUCCCCUCUUCUGUGUGCACCAACCAAACCAGCCUUCUUGCUUUCCCCUAAACAGGUCGAGCAUAUUCCCACCUCAGACACUUUGCAUUGGCUAAUUUCUCAGCCUGGAAGUCUCUUUCCUCUUGCUCUUUCAUUCUACUUAAGUAGGGGCUCAAAUGCCAACUCCUCUGAAAAGCUGUCACUCACCCUCCUGUAUAAUGCCUCCCAUUAGCCCGCUUCAUUUUUCUCUACUGCGCGUAAUCACUACCUAACACUAUAUAUGUUUAUUUCUGUAUUUUGUGUCCUCUUGAUUAUGAUAAGGUUUCAUGAGGCCCAGCAAGGAUUCCUAUUUUAUUUAUCACUGUACUCCAUUCCUCUAAAACAAAGCCUGGCAUAUAGUAAGUGCUCAAUAAAUAUUUACUUAUUGAAUAUUUUCCUGGACCUUUUCAUAUCUUGCUGCCUAGCCUGACAUUGGCAACUUGGAAGAAGAUAAGUUAUCAAGAGUGAGCCAAAGGACCUGAAAUGGAAAAUUCCAAACCUUAGAAGUUCACAAUAUAAUAGCUCUGGGCAUAGGUUGCCCAAUAACUUCUUUCAAACAAGGUCUAGUGCUAGAACCUUUAUUUUCCCGUUAAGGUGCACUGCUUUGUACUUUCUACCUUUUACAUUUAGUUUUGGUGUUGUAUGUAUGUUGUUUAUAUACCCGAAAGCAUGUAAAAGGUGCUCAAAUGCUAUCCUCUCCCUGGAAUUCUAGCCAAUAUGCUGCUAGGUGUACAAUGGGCUGGUUUAUUCCAAAGAAUUUAUAUCAUGUAAAUAAUUUGCCUGUGCUUUAGGUCUGUUUAAAUGUCUGUGAAGUCAUUUACAUUCAUUUAAUUCAAUGGAUUUCCUAACCUCCUCCCUCCAGGUCUCUUCCUCCCAGGCUUGGAGACUUUGGGUAAGUUACUUCUUUGGUUUCUCCCUUUGGAAAACUGGGACAGUCACAGCAGUCUUCACAGAGUGGUUGUGAGGAUUAAAUGAGAUGAUAUGAUGAAGUGCUGAAAAAAGGGGCCGGCACAUAGUAGGUGCUCAGUAAAUGCUAAGUACUGUUACAUUUAUAUUGUUAUCAUCACCACCAGCAUCAUCUUUGUUUUCACAGGUACCCUUGUCCAGUUCAGGAAUUAUUGGCCGGGCGUGGUGGCUCACACCUGUAAUCUUAGCACUCUGGGAGGCCAAGGCAGGUGGACUGGUCAAGUUACUGAACAUACGUGCACUAAUCUUAAAUGCAUGGCUGAAUGAAUUUUUCCAUGUGGAUACACACGUGAACUCACCAGCCAGAUCAAAAGACAUUUCCAGUAGCCCACCAGCGUCCCUCAGGCCCACUUCCAGUCUAUACCACCCAGAGGAAACUGCUGCUCUGACCUCUGUCACUACUGAUCCAUUUUUCCUGGUCUUAAAU